GGCAGUCUUUGCUAGGACAUGCUUGCUACCAGCCUGCAGACAAUUCUCAGCGGCAGGGAAUGCUCUGAGGUCCAUUUCUCCUGCAGUGUGGACCAGGUGCAUCUCCACAACUUGAGUCUGAUUGGCUUACUGUGUUGACUGUUGCCUUUUCCUCAACUAGGUCCCCUGGUAAACAGCUUACCAGUCUGCAGCAGGAAUGGCUGGUGCUUUUCUCAAGCUGACUGAGAAGUUCCUUGGUAAAUGACCCAAGUUCCAUGAAAGAAAACCUCAGACUUAGUAGACUGGCUAGCUGAUAGAACCAUGGAAAUGAUCAUUUGCAAGUUAUUUCAGGAACACACAGCUGCAAAGCUGGAGCCCCAAUUUUGUCAUCAGGAUAAUCCACAACAAACUCAAGCGCUGCUGAAAGCAACUCUGUUAAGCUGUCACCUGGUACUUUAUCCAUGCCUUCAUCAACCAGUAUGCGGUUCCCAGGGCAUCCAAGAUAGCCUUAUCAACACCGUUUGAAUUCCAGGAAUCAGCUAUGAAUUGGUCCGUUAACCUCCUUGCCUAGUGCUCUGUUGUAUGUCAGAUCUGCUAUGAGGCAAGUUUCUCCAUUCGUAUUCAUUUGUAAGAUACUUGCUGAGCUUCAAUGAAUUUC
rnacentral:lncRNA from 1 species